rfam:Triticum aestivum genome assembly, contig: Triticum_aestivum_CS42_TGACv1_scaffold_033712_1BL
AAAUUACUCCCUCCGUCCCAAAAUUCUUGUCUUAGAUUUGUCUAGAUACGGAUGUAUCAAGUCACAUUUUAGUAUUAGAUACAUCCGUAUCUAGACAAAUCUAAGACAAGAAAUUUGGGACAGAGGGAGUAGUUG